AGGAUCUUCUGGAUCGAUACGGCAAGUGCAUCGAGACUGUAGCAACACAUUUAAAACCUUAUAAAAGGUUAUUUAGUUGCUAACGGUGCAGCAGUUUCUGCAAAGCCUGCCAAAAGGUUACAGCUUUUUGGGCAUCAUAAAUUACGGACGACGGGGAAAAAAAGAUAUUUCCCACCAGUUGGGCUGCAGGGUCACCUCCAGCAGAGAAGACCUUGAGUGAUGGAUGCUGUGUCUCGCAGCGAUUUAUUGGAGGCUGUUGCAUACCUCUUAACCUCAAACACUGCAAGAAAGAAGACGGGAAGCCUACAGAGCCCCGAGAACCUGGAGACAGCAAACCCUGCUCAUUCCCUGGGCUGGGAGCUCUGCACUGUGCUGAACUGAGCCACGGAUGUGCAGAGCAAAGGAUCCUGAAGCCGUCCUGCCCCUCUGCAGUGCUUCUCCCUUUUGAAGCCAUGAGGAAUUUCGCAGAGAUUUCCAAAGCCUUUGGGGAGACCUUAUGGAAAUGUGCAGCUGGGGGAGACCGGAGCGCCCAGGGGCCCCUUAAGCAACGUUUGUGCAAACGGACAAAGAAAUCCUAACUAAUAAUGAGCCCCGUUCCAAGGUUAUGAUUGAGUUUUUCCCCUGUUCUGCUUGAUAUUUCUGCCAAAGAAAGAAAAAUCCUCGCUGAAGUCUAGCAGGAAAUCCAAUAAAAUUUCUUCAAAAGAUGGGUCUGACA
rnacentral:lncRNA from 1 species